AGUUUGAUCAUGGCUCAGAUUGAACGCUGGCGGCAUGCCUUACACAUGCAAGUCGAACGGCAGCACGGGGGCAACCCUGGUGGCGAGUGGCGAACGGGUGAGUAACAUAUCGGAACAUACCCUAGAGUGGGGGAUAACGUAGCGAAAGUUACGCUAAUACCGCAUACGAUCUAAGGAUGAAAGUGGGGGGAUCUUCGGACCUCAUGCUCAUGGAGUGGCCGAUAUCUGAUUAGCUAGUUGGUGAGGUAAAGGCUCACCAAGGCGACGAUCAGUAGCUGGUUUGAGAGAACGACCAGCCACACUGGAACUGAGACACGGUCCAGACUCCUACGGGAGGCAGCAGUGGGGAAUUUUGGACAAUGGGGGCAACCCUGAUCCAGCAAUGCCGCGUGAGUGAAGAAGGCCUUCGGGUUGUAAAGCUCUUUUGUCAGGGAAGAAACGGUGAGUUCUAAUACAGCUUGCUAAUGACGGUACCUGAAGAAUAAGCACCGGCUAACUACGUG
rnacentral:rRNA from 1 species